AUGUUUUUUUUAGCAAAGAUAUUAACGGUAGCUAGCAAGCAGGCUAUCAAAGGAAUAUUAGCUAGCUGAUGAGAUCAAAUGGCUGAUAAACGUGCUUUGGAGAAACUGGACUUUUGUGCAUUAAGCAUCGAGCAACAGCAGCAACUCUGACAAUUUAAGAGAUGUAUUUCUCAAAAGACCCACAGGCAUUCGAGAGUAUGCAGCAGAUUACUUCACCGCUCCAAACUGCAGGGCGAUCCUGCCGACAGAGGCACAGACUGAAUCUUUACCGGAUUGUUUGGCAGUUCAACUGUUAUUGAAGUGUAAAGCUGUAACAGGCCUCUUAUCUGUGUUCUGUACAUCCUCUGUAUUGACUAGUUAUGUCAAAGUAACAUGAUGGGAAUGUACUGGCACCCAGGCAGAUGUUCUUACUGAGCAUCAUUACAACAGGUUAGUUACAGGGCUACAGAAGGAUGUUUUAUACCGCUGGUUGAGAGGAAAAUAUAGAUUUCUAGGCCUAUAGGGUGGAGUGGACAGCCUCUUUACAAGAGUUCUCAGGGAAAAGUCUAAAUGGGAUCAUUGGGACGUCCCAACUCUGACGUUAAGCCAUCGAAGUUGAAAUAUAAAAUGGUUAAGGUUACCGAUGUCCCAAGGAUUCCGGAUAGCACUAACUUUUUUCUCAAGCCUCAAGAGUUCCCCCUUCUGGACUCUUAUGUACUUCCACUAACUCGCCAGACAUUAAGCAAGAUGAGACAAUGUGACCGCAGCAAUACUGACCAUAACUUUAGAAUGAUCUGACCACACUGGAUACACAGUUUAAAUGUUUAAUGAAUUAAAAAUCAUCAAGUAACCA